GACGAACGCUGGCGGCGUGCCUAAUACAUGCAAGUAGAACGCUGAAGGAGGAGCUUGCUUCUCUGGAUGAGUUGCGAACGGGUGAGUAACGCGUAGGUAACCUGCCUGGUAGCGGGGGAUAACUAUUGGAAACGAUAGCUAAUACAGCAUAAUAGUAGAUGUUGCAUGACAUUUGCUUAAAAGGUGCAAUUGCAUCACUACCAGAUGGACCUGCGUUGUAUUAGCUAGUUGGUGGGGUAACGGCUCACCAAGGCGACGAUACAUAGCCGACCUGAGAGGGUGAUCGGCCACACUGGGACUGAGACACGGCCCAGACUCCUACGGGAGGCAGCAGUAGGGAAUCUUCGGCAAUGGACGGAAGUCUGACCGAGCAACGCCGCGUGAGUGAAGAAGGUUUUCGGAUCGUAAAGCUCUGUUGUAAGAGAAGAACGAGUGUGAGAGUGGAAAGUUCACACUGUGACGGUAUCUUACCAGAAAGGGACGGCUAACUACGUG
rnacentral:rRNA from 1 species